GGGGCUGACCGGUUUUGACAGCAAGGUGAAUGGAUAAGUAAGCAUGCCGAGCCAUGUGAUAAAGCUCGUAAAUCCGUGUCACACAACAUUAAUUGGCGAAAAUAAUUUUGCUCUCGCAGCCUAAUCGAAGUACAGUAGAUUAGCUUCAUCCCUGGUCUAGGUUACCGGGGACGGGACGGUUCGCAGGUGGAGAUGCCCAAUUCCGGCCUGAUCACGAACCGCACGAAAUUUUGGGCUGGUUCCGGCUUUGUCUCGCAGCCGGAAUGAGAUUAAAGAGACUAAGGCAAAGUUUUGGGUGUUUGUUCCCGUACUUUGCUCGAAAACCAAUAACAAUCUAAGCAUGUAGAAAGCUUAUGUGUUCCUUGUUUGGACGAGGGUUCGAAUCCCUCCAGCUCCACAA
rnacentral:tmRNA from 1 species